AGACUGGAAUACUAUUAAUAGUAAAACGCUCUUUUUGCUAUCAAAUUUUUAACCCUUGGAUGAAAAAUUGUAGGGUCGGAAUGAUAUUAGUCAGUUAGAAUUGAGUGGUCCCCCUAGGGUUGAGUGGUUCCCACUGGGUUAUAGUAUUUAAUCCAAUGGUUAGAAAUAAUGAAAAGAGUUGAUCCAAAGGCUAAAAUACUGAUAGCAACAAUAGAAUUUUGCUACU
rnacentral:lncRNA from 1 species